rnacentral:rRNA from 1 species
AUUGAACGCUGGCGGAAUGCUUUACACAUGCAAGUCGAACGGCAGCACGGGGGCAGCCCUGGUGGCGAGUGGCGAACGGGUGAGUAAUACAUCGGAACGUGCCCGGUCGUGGGGGAUAACGUAGCGAAAGUUACGCUAAUACCGCAUACGAUCUGUGGAUGAAAGCGGGGGACCUUCGGGCCUCGCGCGAUCGGAGCGGCCGAUGUCAGAUUAGGUAGUUGGUGGGGUAAAGGCCUACCAAGCCGACGAUCUGUAGCUGGUCUGAGAGGACGACCAGCCACACUGGGACUGAGACACGGCCCAGACUCCUACGGGAGGCAGCAGUGGGGAAUUUUGGACAAUGGGCGCAAGCCUGAUCCAGCCAUUCCGCGUGCAGGACGAAGGCCUUCGGGUUGUAAACUGCUUUUGUACGGAACGAAAAGGCUCUGGCUAAUACCUGGGGCUCAUGACGGUACCGUAAGAAUAAGCACCGGCUAACUACGUG